rnacentral:lncRNA from 1 species
CUCUAUUCUCCCCACCUCUCUCUCUCCCCCUCUCUCUUUCCCUCUCUCUUUUCCCAUCUCCCCCUCUCUUUUCCUUUCUCUCUCCCCCUCUAUCUUUUCCUCUCUCUCUCCUCCUCUCCCCCCUCUCCAGACAUCGUGAAACAAGCUGUGAAGGAGUACAGGAACAUCUACCCUGAGACGUGUGUUUGAGACAGUGUUUGGUCUGAAGCUGGUGGAGAUCGACUCUAAGAACCACGUCUACAUCCUCAUCAACAAACUGGAGCAGCUAGAGGGAGAAUCUCUCAACAUGUAGAUCACUGUGUGGAAAGACUAGAGGGAGAAUCUCUCAACAUGUAGGUCACUGUGUGGAAAGACUAGAGGGAGAAUCUCUCAACAUGUAGGUCACUGUGUGGAAAGACUAGAGGGAGAAUCUCUCAAGAUGGAGGUCACUGUGUGGAAAGACUAGAGGGAGAAUCUCUCAAGAUGGAGGUCACUGUGUGGAAAGACUAGAGGGAGAAUCUCUCAAGAUGGAGGUCACUGUGUGGAAAGACUAGAGGGACAAUCUCUCAACAUGUAGGUCACUGUGUGGAAAGACUAGAGGGAAAAUCUCUCAACAUGUAGGUCACUGUGUGGAAAGACUAGAGGGACAAUCUCUCAACAUGUAGGUCACUGUGUGGAAAGACUAGAGGGAAAAUCUCUCAAGAUGGAGGUCACUGUGUGGAAAGACAAGAGGGAGAAUCUCUCAACAUGUAGGUCACUGUGUGGAAAGACUAGAGGGAGAAUCUCUCAAGAUGGAGGUCACUGUGUGGAAAGACUAGAGGGAGAAUCUCUCAAGAUGUAAGCCCCAGGAAGACACCCCCUCCCCUACAGGAAGACUCCAAGCAGACACCCCCUCCCCUACAGGAAGACACCCCCUCCCCUACAGGAAGACUCCAGGAAGACACCCCCUCCCCUACAGGAAGACUCCAGGAAGACACCCCCUCCCCUGCAGGAAGACCGCAGGAAAACAUCCCCUCCCCAACAGGAAGACACCCCCUCUCCUACAGGAAGACACCCCUCCCCUACAGGAAGACACCCCUCUCCUACAGGAAGACACCCCCUCCCCUACAGGAAGACACCCCCUCCCCUACAGGAAGACACCCCCUCUCCUACAGGAAGACCCCAAGAAGACACCCCCUCUCCCACAGGAAGACACCCCCUCUCCUACAGGAAGAUCCCAGGAAGACACCCCUCCCCCACAGGAAGAUCCCAGGAAGACACCCCCUCCCCUACAGGAAGAUCCCAGGAAGAC